rnacentral:rRNA from 1 species
CAGUAGCCACGGUAGUACGAAGGGUGCAAGCGUUAAUCGGAAUUACUGGGCGUAAAGCGUGCGUAGGCGGUGAGUUAAGUCUGCUGUGAAAUCCCCGGGCUCAACCUGGGAAUGGCAGUGGAUACUGGCUCGCUAGAGUGUGUCAGAGGAUGGUGGAAUUCCCGGUGUAGCGGUGAAAUGCGUAGAGAUCGGGAGGAACAACAGUGGCGAAGGCGGCCAUCUGGGACAACACUGACGCUGAGGCACGAAAGCGUGGGGAGCAAACAGGAUUAGAUACCCGCGUAGUCCCUGUCUCUUAUAC